rnacentral:rRNA from 1 species
AGAGUUUGAUCAUGGCUCAGGAUGAACGCUAGCGGCAGGCCUAAUACAUGCAAGUCGAACGGUAAAUAUGCAGCAAUGUAUAUGAGAGUGACGUACGGGUGCGUAACACGUAUGCAACCUACCCUUUACAGGCGGAUAGCUCGGGGAAACUCGGAUUAACCCGUCAUAAUAUAAUUGAGUGGCAUCAUUUGGUUAUUAAAUCUACGGAGGUAAAGGAUGGGCAUGCGUCUGAUUAGUUAGUUGGCGGUGUAACGGACCACCAAGACGAUGAUCAGUAGGGGAACUGAGAGGUUGAUCCCCCACACUGGCACUGAGAUACGGGCCAGACUCCUACGGGAGGCAGCAGUAGGGAAUAUUGGUCAAUGGAUGGAAGUCUGAACCAGCCAUGCCGCGUGCAGGAAGAAGGCCUUCUGGGUUGUAAACUGCUUUUGCCAGGGGCUAAAAAGCCCAUGCGUGGGAAAUUGAAAGUACCUGGUGAAUAAGCCACGGCUAACUACGUGCCAGCAGCCGCGGUAAUACGUAGGUGGCAAGCGUUGUCCGGAUUUAUUGGGUUUAAAGGGUGCGUAGGCGGCUUUGUAAGUCAGUGGUGAAAUAUGGCAGCUCAACUGUCAAGGUGCCAUUGAUACUGCGGACGUUGAGUACAGAUGAGGUAGGCGGAAUUGACGGUGUAGCGGUGAAAUGCUUAGAUAUCGUCAAGAACACCUAUAGCGAAGGCAGCUUACUAGGCUGUAACUGACGCUGAGGCACGAAAGUGUGGGGGAUCAAACAGGAUUAGAUACCCUGGUAGUCCACACUGUAAACGUUGAUUACUCGCUGUGUGCGAUAUACAGUACGCGGCCAAGCGAAA